rnacentral:rRNA from 1 species
GAUGAACGCUGGCGGCGUGCCUAAUACAUGCAAGUCGAGCGGAACUGGGGGAGCUUGCUCCUUCCAGUUUAGCGGCGGACGGGUGAGUAACACGUGGGCAACCUGCCCUGCAGAUCGGGAUAACUCCGGGAAACCGGUGCUAAUACCGAAUAGUUUGGCGCCUCUCCUGAGGCGCUACGGAAAGACGGUUUCGGCUGUCACUGCAGGAUGGGCCCGCGGCGCAUUAGCAAGUUGGUGGGGUAACGGCCCACCAAGGCGACGACGCGUAGCCGACCUGAGAGGGUGACCGCCCACACUGGGACUGAGACGCGGCCCAGACUCCUACGGGAGGCAGCAGUGGGGAAUAUUGGACAAUGGGGGAAACCCUGAUCCAGCGACGCCGCGUGGGUGAAGAAGGCCUGCGGGUUGUAAAGCCCUUUCGGUAGGGACGAAAGCUCUCGACCUAACACGUCGGGAGGUUGACUUAACCUACAAAAGAAGCACCGGCUAACUCUGUGCCAGCAGCCGCCGUAA